GUGUUUGCUUCAGCAGCACAUAUACUAAAAUUAGAAUGAUACACAGAAGAUUAGUAUGGCGCCUGUGCAAGGAUAACAUGCAAAUUCGUGAAGUGUUCCAGAAAAUU
ensembl:snRNA U6 U6 spliceosomal RNA